CUCAAUGCAUUAACCUACACUUGCUCACAGCGAUCCUAGCAUCUAUGAGGAGGAGGUUGCUGAUGCCUCUAUCUUCUCCUUUCAACCUCACAUUUUCAUACAAAUAUAAAUUGACACAAUCUCAAAAACAGCAACAAAUGAGAUUUAGUGUCAUUUCUUGACACAAUUUUCAAGGGGAAAACAUACAUGUAUAUAUAGAAACAUUCCUUCACAUCAGGGUCACCCUAUAAUCGAUAUAUACACUCCGAAUUCGGGUUCCAACAUCGGGUGAGUCUAUAAAGACAAUCUGCAUCGAGACAGUAGAGUUUGCCGAAGGCCGGCGGGCGUGGCGAGAGCGGAGGAUGGACCCCAAUUCUAGAAACCAUCUUCAUUAUGGGGCACAUGGAAAUGUCGCACCUCGGUAGCAGCCAAAUGAUCACUCAACCUAAACUUGCAGAGGAACCCAUUCUCGACUUCUUCUUUUUCCUCAAAAGCGAGGAAAUCCCUCAUAAAACCCAGCCCUAGCCGCACCUAUUUUCGUCACGGGAGUAAUAAUUCUCAACUCCCUGCUGGUCAGAAUUUCAGAGAGAAUGCCCAAAAACCCCAAAGGCAAUAUCCGACACACCGAACAUGAAACGCUAUGCCAAAUUCAACUCCGCCCACAGGCUUUUUCCGCUGCCGGAGAUCAUUAAGACGAAAAGUCUGAAGAAUUUUUUAAAAUGGAAUGAAACUAGAGCUCGUUGCACAGCCAUUCUGGCGAGGGGUGGAAUCUGCGCGAACUUACUCCCCCCAUUUUCCAAUCCGGGCGUCGCAGCAGUACAUGACAAGUUCGGCCGAGGGCAGCGGAGCGGCCCAUUCAUUGACCUCCACCAAGGCAUCAGUAAUGAGGGUAGCUAUGUUUCGGGGUGAAUCGCGAUCUUCCAUGCGCUUUGCUCUCCCCCUGUCGAUUUCCCUUCAUUAGUCACCCCUCUUGCUAAUUCUGUCCUCAUCUGUGUAAAGAGGCUCAUAGCAAACUGCUCCCCGAAGCAUCGAAAACUGUUCCUUGAUAUUGUACAUGCCAUUAAAAACCUGGUUCUGCUAGAGACCCAAAAUUAGGGACAUCCUUUUACAUUGGUGCAGCAGGAUGGAAUCAAGCACUUUGCAGUUGAGCAGCUAAAAAUGUUUUUGAAGGAAAAAAAAGGAGAUAACAUCAGCAGCACCCAGUCAGCCUCCAUUUGGAAACCCUCCCUCCCUUGUGGCAGUGCUUUCGCCAUCGCCGCUGCACAGCGAAGCCGUUCUCGUGCCG
rnacentral:lncRNA from 1 species